rnacentral:siRNA from 1 species
AUGUGUUUUUGGGUGAACUGUUCA